AAUUACCGCUAUUGGGGUUCGAUUAAGCCAUGCGAGUUCCUGGCUUCGGUCAGAGCGAACGGCUGAGUAACACGUAGUUAACUCACCCUUAAGUCAAGAAUAGCCUUGGGAAACUGAGGGUAAUGCUUGAUAGAAGAUUAUGCCUGGAAAGGUUUAUCUUCCAAAGCUUCGGCGCUUAAGGACAGGACUGCGGUGGAUUAGGCUGAUGUCAGGAUAAUGACCUGACAUACCUAUAAUCCAUAGGGGCUGUGAGAGCAGUAGCCCCCAGAUGGAUUCUGAGACACGAAUCCAGGCCCUAAGGGGCGCAGCAGGCGCGAAAACUCCGCAAAAACCCUUUUGCUUCGCAAAAUCGUUUACGGAAAGAAGUAAUGGGUUGCGGAAUGCACGAAAGUGUGACGGGGGAACCCCAAGUGUUGGCGUACUACGUCAGCUUUUCUAGAGUUUAAAUUGCUCUAGGAAUAAGUGAUGGGUAAGACCGUUGCCAGCCGCCGCGGUAAUAACGGCAUCACAAGUGGUAAUCACGUGUAUUGGGUCUAAAGCAUCCGUAGCCGGUCUAACAAGUCUUCUGUGAAAUCUCAUAGAAAACUAUGAGGCGUGCAGGGGAAACUGUUAGACUUGGGACUGGGAGGGGUUAGAGGUACUUCUGGGGUAGAGGUGGAAUUCUGUAAUCCUAGAGGGACCACCUGUGGCGUAAGCUUUUUAGAAAAAAGCUUAAGCAAAAAUCUAAAAAGUUUUCACAUAAGGCGUCUAACUAGAACGGGUCCGACGGUUAGGGAUGAAAGCUAGGGGAGCGAAGGGGAUUAGAUUAACCUUUUUCUUUGGAAAAGAAAAACGUUAACGAAAAAGAAACUAAGGAUAAGGUUAUAAAGACCCCCGUAGUCCUAGCUGUAAACGAUGCCCGCUAGGUAUUGGGAGUUUUUCGUGAACUUCCAGUGCCGUAGGGAAGCCAUUAAGCGGGCCACCUGGGAAGUACGGUCGCAAGGCUGAAACUUAGAGGAAUUGGCGGGGGAGCACACAAGGGGUGCGGUCUGCGGUUU
rnacentral:rRNA from 1 species